GAAACAUUUCACUUGAAUGUUUUCACUGGGGAGGGUGAAAGAAGCGAUUAUACGAAGGCGAAUUGUGAAGAGAUGUCAAAAUCUGCAAUUUUUCUAGCUAUUGUCGAUUCGUCUAAGAAUAAUUAAGGCUGCAUGCCAAUCAAUGUAAAUCAUAAAAUAGAGCAUUUCUGCUGUCGACGUGGAUUUGAUUGGGAAGAACUAGAGUUAGAUCAAAUUCUUCCAAUUUUCGCUCAAUUAACUAAUGACGUUCAAUAAUCAAGCAGUUAAGAAUUAAUAAAUUCAUGGUAUAUCAUGAGUGUUUUUUCAAGCGCCGUCUCCUGUGAAGCAUAUCUACCAUUUUCGUGCAAAGCUCUCUGGAAAGCGUAUUGACUGUGUAUGCAUGCAUGCACCUAUCGAACUUCGUGCACAUAUAGACGUGAUGCUUUGACGAUAAAUACUUAUUAAAAUUCAAAUUAUUUAUUUCUGCCUUGUAAAGGUACAGACAGCAGAGGCGCAGAAAAAGCUGUCAGAUACAGAUUGACAAAGCCGCAGCCCCCUUUCGCUUGGCAGAGCCUUUACAGCGACACUUUUAAAACAAAGACAAUUGCACCCGGUAAUAACAGGUAUACAAUACUGAGCAAGUACAAAAGGAAACCAAUCAAGAUUAUACGAUAUUUGUAUAAUACUCCCAAACAAGAAAACAGAACCUACAUGCUAACGUACAUAGCACCCAAAGUACUGUUCGACACGUUAAAGAGGUCAAAAUUAUUGUUCACAUAAGGUAUAUACAUAUUCGUAUAGCGCUACCAAUCCCUGCAAAAUAUAGAACGCAGAUUUUCAUUACACACACGCACGCACGCACGUGCACAGCACACACACCAAAAGGAAACGGCAACGCGCUCACAGGAAGCGCCUGAAAAACGAAAAAAAAGGAAAAGUGUGGGGAACCGAGGUCGUCUUGGGCUGUCGCCUCUCCCUCUCCCAGAAGGAAUGAAGAGGUUCUUGGAAAGCAGGGACGGGCGAUUCUCUCUGUCAGCAUCAGCUCCCACCAGCGAGGACGGGGCGAGAAAGCGAAACGGUACUUUCCUUGCUGUCUAUUUUUUCUUCGUCAGGCCAACGCCGCUUGCUUGCAGGGGCGCAGGCGAGUUCCCGCCAAAUGGCGCGGGUGCGUGAGUUGCCGCCAAAUGCUAGCUCUGGAUGCCAGCUCGUUCCGCGUCUCAUGGUAGACUAGUUGGUGCAUUUCUGUUAUCAUGGACUGCGCAUAUAAACGCAAGCUACACAAAAGUGACAAGGACAAGAACAGCGCAAGCCCUUUACAUGCAGUGGAGCCGCCGUAUCUCGCCGUUCAAGAUAUGCGUACUCGUAAGUGGCAUUUUAAUUUCACGUUGUGUAAUGCAUGACUGUCUUUUUCAAGUGAACAAAGGUCGCUUUGUAUUGUGUAAAUGGUUUUGCAACGUAUGAUAAACUCCUUGUCUUUCGGGCUUAUUUUUUCUGACAGGAAGAAAAAAAAAAGAGGCUUUACAUGAGAACGGAUCAAGCGUUCGAGAGUUGGGACAGAGAAAUGUGAGACGUACUUUCAUGUAUAUAUUUCUAAUAUUAUUUUUUCGUCUUGUAUUCUCGUUAAUUUUUCUCUAGGAAACGCUGGAACGACACUGCUUAAAUUGAAGCACAGUACGUGUGCGAAUGACCUGCUACGCUCGGAACUGUUAUCACCAUUCGGGAAGAAAUUGGGUAAGAAUGGAUUGUGUGUGGCGCGCUUCACCGCAUGUGGACUAGAGUAGAUCUAGGAACAUCAGACAAGAAGACACGUAUGUGAAACCCUGCGGAUAGCCCAUAUACCACGAUAACCACGUAUUUGGAUGUCUGGUUUAACUCUACGUGCGCUGGUUCGUGCAGGUGAACUUUUUUUCCAGAUACGGAGGAACGGACACCGGUCGUGCCGUGAGCACUAUUCUGCAGGGCAUACUUCCAAAUGAAGCUGCACUGCAGUUCAGCUGGAAAGGGUCGCAGGGGAGGAAGCACGCCUUCGUGAAGCUCAUGGCCAUCACGAAUAUAACAUCUGUGAGGAGCACGUUCCCUGACGCUUCACUAGCAUCAGUGGCUGGAGUCGCAAAACGCUGGUUGGUUGGAGCAGCUGACAGGGAUGGAGGCCGGAAUGAAAGAAGGCGCCGUGACCCUGCUUCAAGCCCACCAAAUAUGAACUAGUGUUUGAAACUUGUGAACGUGUCGGUGUACAUAUACAAUUACAAGAAAUAAAGACCUGUAUCAGAA